rnacentral:rRNA from 1 species
UACGUAGGGGGCUAGCGUUGUCCGGAAUCAUUGGGCGUAAAGCGCGCGUAGGCGGCCCUGUUAGUCCGCUGUAAAAGUCAAAGGCUCAACCUUUGAAUGCCGGUGGAUACUGGAUGGCUUGAAUCCGGGAGAGGGAUGCAGAAUUCCAGGUGUAGCGGUGAAAUGCGUAGAUAUCUGGAGGAAUACCGGUGGCGAAGGCGGCAUCCUGGACCGGCAUUGACGCUGAGGAGCGAAAGCUAGGGGAGCAAACGGG